GUCCUCCUUCAAACUCCCGAUGGAGAUAUCGUCCUUUUUCUGAAAAAGUAGAUGAAGGUCUCCUCCUCUUUUGUGCUCUAGCCAUCGCCCUGCCGGAAAACGCUCCUCCUCUACGUGCGAAUCUCCGUCGUGUGACAUCUCUUCCUCCUAAGAUGAAGAUCUUGAAUAGCCCCUCCUUCUAGCGCCAAUUUGUUGAUAGAGGAAUUUGGUAAUCAACAAAGAUGAGGUUCAUGGCCGGAAUCAAGAUCCGUGACGGUGGUUUUGGUCGCCGGAGAGUGGUGGUUGUUUGUUUUAGGGGGUGGCUGAGAUUAGGGUUUUGAGUUGGUCUCACGUGCUCUCAACUCAUGAUCCCCCAAUGUGCCUACGUACCCCUAUAUUUAUAGGGGAUCAAGCCGUACGUAGUUCUAUGGAACCAGGAGUCCUAGUUUGAUCAGGACUAGGCCUCUUGGCGAUAAGGUCGGAGAUAGGCCGAAGGCCCAUCUUGGAGAAUCCUACUCCUGUUAGAAUUAGUCUUGAGUAUGACUACCUCAGACUCCUAAUCCAAAUAGAUCACGGAUUCAACGAUAUCUCCACUACGAGAGAUAGCAUCUACCACGACUCUUAUGGAGAAGUUAUCUGGGGGAGCCAUG
rnacentral:lncRNA from 1 species